GAUGACCCUGUAGGUCGGUGAGGGGCAGGGGAGGAUUGUGGGGACAACACGGCACAGUGAGGGAUGGCGCGGGACCGCGAGGGACGGUUAGGAAUGGCUGGAACAGUGCUGGACGUUAUGGGACUGUGAGAGACAGUGAGGGUGGGUCUGUGCAGGACACAGUGGGACAGUGCAGGACAAUGAGGGACGGCGAGGGGCAGUGAGAGACAGAGGGGCAGCCAGGACUCCUUGUUGAGAGCAGGGCCACCAGGGGAGGGCAAGGGCUCUUCUGACCACAUAUUGGAAAAGGAGCCCUGUCCUGGUGCUGCUGACCUUUUCAGGCCGCCCACCACUUCUAGGGGCAGCCCCUGCUGGGUCCUGGAGGCCCUGGUUCUUCUCCUGUUUACCUGUUAGACCCAAGCUGGCCUGGAUAUCUCCUGGCACCGGGCAGCCGUGCGAUGCCCCAGGACAGACCACGAACAAGCCUGUAGGAGGAGGUUUCUGGGGGCACCCGUGAUGCAACUUGGGCUUAUAGUUUAACCGUAAAAUAAAUAAUACAAAUGAUAACAAACCAAGAGUGGCUAAAGUAAGAAAAAAAGCAAACAAACGGAAACCCUCCAGUAUUAACGAGAACAGAUUUCCUAAAUGGUACUUUAUGGAGUAGAGGCCAAAGACUGCUACUGACCUCUUUGGUCUCCAUAGAGCCCUUCUUGCACUUCAGCAAUAAUGCCUGAUAGUUAUACGUUUAGCACAACCUAAUUGAGGUUGUUUAACAUAUGGAAUGAGAUUCUGGCCUCAUUAUCAAGUUAACUAUUAACUUUGCACCCCGUGAAAUGAUUUGCCUUUUCUCCAACAUUGUUUACUUAAAUCCUUUUAAAUUUAAUUCAAAGGCCUCAUUUUGAAUUCAAGGCCUUAAGCACCAAAUUAAAAAUGAAAAACUGAAGUAUCCCUUUGCCCCCUUUCACUUGCAAGGACAGUUAUCCUGUUCUUUCAACGGUACCUUCUGGCCUAGAGGGCUGUGGGGUCAUUUUCAUGUCCAGGCUAUUUAUCAAUAUUGGAGUUAUCCUGUCUUCCCUAUAUUCUUACUUAUUGUAUUCAUUUAGUAUUAUAGGAAUUAGUCACAAAGAAUUGCUGAUUUUCUUACCAACUUAACUAGGUUUUUUUGGUUUACAGAAAAUCUAUCCAGAUUCCAUCUCCACCUCCCUGUUUUAUGUUCACCACUACCCAUAUGCUGUUAGCAGUGUGAAAAAAAAAAAAAAAGAUCCGCCUGAGAACUUGCCCAGAACAUCUUUUCAGACCUCACAGUACAGCAUUUACUGAACGUGGACCUAGAUGAGCUCCAGUUUCAUUCAAAAGGAACCCUAGUUACGCUCUUUCAAGUCACCACAAUACAGCUGUAAUUUGUGCUUUGGCCUUAUUGGCAUGCUUUUACAUUCCCCUAUUCAUAAAACAGUGAUAAUCACCAGAGCAACCAUCAAACACACUCCUUCUUUAGAGAAAGAAGAUCAACAGGAUACUUACUAUAUAGUGGUGAUCUGUAUGAUGUGCUAAUGUUUUGGUAAAUCAUCAAAAAUCACAAAAUCAUAUGAGUAACACACGAUUCAUUGAUUUCUCUUCUGAUCUAUUUUAAUCUUGGAAAAUAAACAUUUGAUUUAUUCAUUUUUGGGGAAAAACAGUUAUAGCUGCUAGUUAACUGAAUUUGGUUCAUAAUUUUGUUCAUAUAAUAAGUCUUUCUCAGCUGUGAAGGAUUACAUGAGAAAAGUUAUGCUCCACAAAUCUUUUAUCUAGUAGUCUACUUACUAUUUUAUAAUAACAUUGAUAUGUCAGUAGUAUCAUAGAAUGUUUGGGGAAGAGUCUGAAAGGAAAAUGUGAAGCAACGUGAAGUAAUUCUAUCAUAUUAUGUUUAGCAAGUGACCACUCAUUAGAGAUUUAGGAAAUUAGAUCACUGAACCUAAGUUUUGAGUAAUGUAUUUAAAAAAAUAUAUAUUUCUCAGAGUUGAUUUAAUUUUGAGGCCAUUUCUCACGGAAUGGACACUGUUUUAAUAGAGCAUGACAUCUAAAACAUUAGACUCAACAUCAUAUUGACCCAGAUAGUCGUUGUGCGGGCAAUCCCUUUUCAGCAAAAGAAUUGCUAUCCCUGGAGUGAGAAAAAGCUUGAAGCUCUGUCUCAGGAUCCUGAGAACCAUACUGUUGUCCUGAGGACAUUACUCCUUUCUGUCCUCACCAGGAAAUUCCACAAGUCGUGUAUGUAUAGAGAUGCUGGGCAGACCUUAUCAAAUGUACAACUUAUAUCCACGUUUUGAUAUUGGAAUCCUGUAGAAGAGUAUGCACAUUUUGGUGUUUGUCUUUCUCGGCUGUGAAGGAUUACAUGAGAAAACUUAUGCAUUUCUCCUUGUUCAUAAAGACAUAUUUUAAAACAAGAUCCUUUUUGCAUUACCCUUUUAGUCCCAGAGCUUUUAUUUCUAUCUAUACAUGAUAUAAAUGUAUAAUAUGCACUUUUUUUUUACUAGUCUGUAAGCAAGCAUGCAAUAAAAAUCUACACGCCCAAUGGAAGAAAUGUAUUUUUUAUAGGCUGUUUGUUUAGUGUACUGCAUUGUUUUGAAAACAAUCGUGUGUGUGUGUGUGUGUGUGUGUAUAAUCUCCAAUAAAUUGUGGAUUACUUUCGAAUGGAUGUGCUGGUAAGAGCCCACCAUUCAUCUGUGAGUGCCACAUCACAACAGAGUCUCCCAUUGAGCUUUUCCCUUAGCAACUAUUUGAAUAGUAGCAAUACUCCAUUUUUCCCUUCCUUUCUACUUGGUAUAUGUAGCCUGUGAGAAGACGGAUGGGCUACUUGCAAUUUAUUAGUCUGUGUUUUAGAUGUCAGAGGCAGGGCUUAACUAACUUUUGUUUAGUAUAGGUUUUGGACAGUCUAUCUAGUUGUUUAGUUUUAAUUGAGUCACCCUUCAGAUACCUAAUGUUGCUUUAAUAAAUAUUUGAUGCUUUUGACGGAUGUUUUUCUAAUUCCAUCCCACCUCUGGAAUCAGUAACUGUUAGAAUUUUUUUAGUAUCCUGUGGAUCAAUUUAAUUUAGAUACAUAGUCGAUGUUUUCAAGAUAAUUUUUUUUUUCAAGCAGAAAUUUGACUUUACCUUCUGAUUUAAAUAUUUAGACAUUUUGUCCCAAGUAAAUGCUGUAUUUCCUAUUAGCUGGCCAGUAGGGUGUGCUCUAGUCCCUUGCCAAAUUAAUUAAUUAAAAUUAUUAAUGCAAACUUUUGAUUAAGAGAUUUCAGAAAUAUGUUUCACUUGUUCAUUGCCAGCAACACAGGGGAGGUGUGUUUAUAUAGAUACCAGUGCAGAUGCAUACACACCAUAUACAGAGAGAAUGGUUACAUCAAAAAAAGAGAAGGCUCCGAGAUGCCAACCUCUUCAGCUUAGUCCUAAAAUAACUUGGUAUUGUUUUACCAAAUUUGUCUCUUGGCAACAGGCAUUUAUUUUGCCCUGGACAAUGAAGAAUAGGAAGAGGUUGCCAUGAUGAAUAGCUCCUGCUCUCAGUAUUUCCUCUUCAGAGCCAUAAAACCUUAAGACAAAAAAACAACAACAACAACAACAACACAAGGUCUCUGUAAUAGUGCAGUAUCCGUCACCUGCAGUCCUCAGGAGAGGCGCUAAGGGCAGGAAAGCCUUCUUUUCAGCUGUGAAAGCCAGCCAGCAAGUACUAAAUCUAGCACUUUAUGAUAGUACGUGGCACUGUUGUUGACCAUCUUGGCCAUAGGUGCAAGCCUAAAUGAUGGAAGAGAAGACUUGGGUGAAUACAAACAGCUGAUGUGAAAACACAAAGGAAGAUUCAUUAGAUCAAGGAUCCAGAUUCUACGACCUUAAAAAUCUUUGAGAAUCAGACCCUGAGCUCCUCUAAACUCAGAACAUAAUCAUAAACACAGAAAGCUUUAUAUACAAGGACCUUUGAGGCAGUGUUAUUCAAAAUAGUGAAAAACUGGCUUGUUACUAGGGCAAGUAUCCAAGUAAAAUAUGGAAUAUCUAUGCGUAGGCUCGUGAUGAUUUUAUAAACAGGAAAAUGUGCUCAUGAGAUUCUGUAAUUAGGAAUAGUAGCUAGUAACCGCUAACACUUUUACAGCAUUUACUAAGAACCAGGCACUGUAUGAGGCUGUACGUAAAUUAGUUUAACUUCACCAUGUUGCAAGCACAUGCUGUUGUCACACCCUGGUCACAAGGAAGGCGGAGGUUGCUCAUGCACCCAGGGUCACUGUGGAUUCCUGCCGCAGCAAUGCCAGCUUUCUUUCAACCAUGGCAGGUUCCUCCCUUAUCCUGUCUUGUGAAAAAAAAAAAAAAAGAAGAAGAAGAACAGAAAAUUGAAUUUGGGUCAUCAUCUAUCCUCAUGUUAUCAGGUACAAUUUUUUUUUUUAAUUUGCUAGUGGCAGAAACCCAACUCAAAUUUAUAAAUAAAAACAAGGAAUUCCAUGGAAUAGUACCAGAAAAAUCUAGGGGUGUAGCUGCAAAGACCACUUUAUCAGGGUGUUCAAAUGAGAUCCUGUCCAGGCCAGGACUUUCUCCAAGAUUCAGCUUUGUUCUCUUGUGUUGACUUCAUUUUGAGGCUCCAGUGAACCCCAGGGCCAUUCAAUUUAAGUUAAAAAGAGCUUAUUUGUGUUUAAAUAAAGCCUUUGGUCUGAUUCUCACUAGUCCAAACUGAAGGCCAGGGGAGUGCAGUCCUGAGCACCAGCCCCCACUGUGGAAUGGUGGGCAGACUCAGCCCAUCUAAGGAGACUAGGGCAGAAGAGGAGAAAUCCUUUCCUGGAGUAGAACCGGAGGACGCACCAGGCAGGAGGGAAA